rnacentral:rRNA from 1 species
UACGUAGGGUGCGAGCGUUGUCCGGAAUUAUUGGGCGUAAAGAGCUCGUAGGCGGUGUGUCGCGUCGGCCGUGAAAACCUGCAGCUUAACUGUGGGCUUGCGGUCGAUACGGGCAUCACUGGAGUUCGGCAGGGGAGACUGGAAUUCCUGGUGUAGCGGUGAAAUGCGCAGAUAUCUGGAGGAACACCGGUGGCGAAGGCGGCAUCCUGGACCGAGAUUGACACUGAGGCGCGAAAGCCAGGGGAGCAAACGGG